AGGCCCAGGCAGGGCAGGUGUGGGCAGAGCUGGUGUGCAGGCACAGAGGAGCUGGAGAGAGGCCACUGAGAGCGGGCCUGGCCAUGUGGAGUGCCCUGUGCGUGGGCUUCUUGCCCAUUGUAGCAGUCACUGGCCAGGUGACCUUGGAGCAGCACCCCAGGGAAGUGACCAAACAAGGUGGAAUUGAAGUCACCUUCCACUGCAGCAUGAAGGGAGCUGCUAUGAGGAGCUACCACGUCAUGUACUGGUACCGUCAGGGCCCACGAGGAAUGGAAUGGAUUUGCAGGGACAGUUAUGACUAUGGAGAACGUUUCCAUCGUCGCUUUAAGGGAAGGAAGGACAGCUCCCAGAACAACUACGCACUGCAGAUCCUGGCAGCAGAGCCAGGCGAUGCAGCAACGUAUUACUGUGGAGCAAGAAUCACCCUGGAGCAGCUCUGCAGCAGAGUGAACCAAACACCAGCAGAUGAGGAAGACAGAUCUCUCAGCAUUUCUUUCUGGCAGCUGCUCCCCAGGGCUCCUGUGAGGCAAUGGCAGGUGCAGGAAACGUCCCUCUGGCUGGGUGCCACUAAAAGGCACUGCAGGGAGGGCUGCUGGAAGGACUGGUGCCAGUGAUGGUGCAGGAGGAUCUGUCCUGGGAACUGCAGAGGCUGCAGUUUGGGGAAAUGCAGGUUUGGUGCACGUUGCCUGGGCUCCUGUCCAGCAUAGCCUCAUUUCUCCUCAGUGCCUUGCCUUGGCUCCCAGCCCUUUCUCCCCAGGGACAAUCAGCAUGGCUUUGGGAAGUGGGAAUUGGGGUUAGCCACAUUGACAGCCUUUGACAGUGAAACAAAGGGUCUUGCUGGGUGAAGAGAGAGAGUGGAUGUUGGGCAUUCUUCAUUCAGUUGGGCUGCCAGUACUGACUUCCCUCGAAACCUUCUGCACAAAUCCUUUUAUUAUGGCCUAGAGAAGUACUCAGUGACAUGGAUUGUGCACAUUGCACAGAUUCCUCCUCCCAGUAUCUCCUCCUGGGCUGGGGGAAACAAAAUUGCUGAAGGCUGAUCUGGCUGCUGAAGCCUGAGGUGAAUAAAGCAUUCAGGACCUCAGCCCUGUCCCAUAUCCUCUGUCACCUGGUCCCCAUCCCAUUCAGCACUGGGCCCACCUUUUCCCCGCCUCGUUUGUCCAUGCAGCCUCCUGGCAUGUUGGCCUGAGUCCUUGCUCACUGGGGAGGAACCCUCUUCAGUCCAGCACUGCUGGGACUGGGGACUGCUGUGUCCCCUGCUGGGCUCCCAAGCCUGGGAAGGACAUGGACACAGGGGAACAAUGCAAUGAAGGGCCAUGAACACAAGGGAGGGAACAUAAGGAGAGCCUGGGAGAUCUGGGUUGGUUUAGCAUGCAGAAGGAAAUGUUCUGGGGGAUCUGACACUGAGCUGAAAUACUCGAAGCUCUCUAAGUUCCAUUCAUGAGGACAUUCAGAACUGAACAGGACAAGGCUGUGGGCACCUCCUGCCCCUGCCCCCAUCAGGCAGCUCAGCCCCACACAGCUGCUCACUCAGUCCCCCUCACUGCCAUGGCAGAGAGAAACAAAAUGGUGGAGUGAGAAAAUGUAUUUUUUGACAGAGAGAGAGUUGAGAAAUCAUGGCAAAACCAAAAGACAAAAACCAAACAACAUCAAGAAUUAACUCCUGCAUUCCCAUGAGCACAGAGGAGCAGCAAAGCUGGCUCCUCUUCUGCUCCCCUCUCCUUAUGCCUGUUCUGGCUCUCCAGAAAGAACAGCAUCAGCUC